UCGUACGUAGCAGAGCAGCUCCC
rnacentral:piRNA from 2 species